rnacentral:rRNA from 1 species
UACGUAGGGGGCAAGCGUUGUCCGGAAUCAUUGGGCGUAAAGCGCGUGUAGGCGGUCCGAUCAGUCGGCUGUGAAAGUCCAGGGCUCAACCCUGGGAUGCCGGUCGAUACUGUCGGGCUAGAGUCCGGAAGAGGCGAGUGGAAUUCCCGGUGUAGCGGUGAAAUGCGCAGAUAUCGGGAGGAACAUCCGUGGCGAAGGCGACUACCUGGACCAGCACUGACACUGAGGCACGAAAGCGUGGGGAGCAAACAGG